rnacentral:tRNA from 1 species
GGGCCGGUAGUCUAGCCUGGAUAACGUUAUAAACGUACAGAGAGGACGUGAGCCUCCGGAGCUCGCGGCACGGGUUCGAAUCCCGUCCGGCCCG